GCGCGCGCUUGAGGAGGAGCGGCGCUGCCUGGCCCGGCCCCUCACCGGAAACCCUCCUCGCCUCUUCAGCUCCGAUUCCGGCGGCCGCGGGUCGUCCUACAAGCAUCCCUGCAAGUUCAACCUGGGGUGCAAAAAGCAUAUGGAGGGCCAGCUUGCAUACCUUAGGAUGGCAGCGGAGAAAGAUGCUCGUGACUGGAGAGAGAUGAGGGAAAUACUUGAAGCAUCGGCGCAAAGACAAGCAGAGCACGAUGAAGAGUGCAAGCGACAGGACAAGGUCGUAAACUGUGCUGCCGCCGUUCUGUUCCUCGCGUUGUUUGCAGGCCACAUGUUCUUUCGCUGAAUCAAGAAAUAGGUUGUGAUCGCCCUUGAUUGCCUUCUCCCUGCACUCUGUGCUUUAUGCAUUUAAACUAUGUGUCUCAACAGUAGGCAAGGCACUUCUAUAUGGUUAAACUUUUGGAUCCUCUCCUCAGUGCCGCGUGAAGUAUUUUCUUAGCACAGCUCACAUCAGGAUUUCA